GACAAAUGCCCUGCUUCCAGGAAAAGCCUCUAAGCAUCAGGUAACAUCAAAUCGUACCCCAAACCGACACAGGUGGUCAGGUAGAGAAUACCAAGGCGCUUGAGAGAACUCGGGUGAAGGAACUAGGCAAAAUGGUGCCGUAACUUCGGGAGAAGGCACGCUGAUAUGUAGGUGAAGCGACUUGCUCGUGGAGCUGAAAUCAGUCGAAGAUACCAGCUGGCUGCAACUGUUUAUUAAAAACACAGCACUGUGCAAACACGAAAGUGGACGUAUACGGUGUGACGCCUGCCCGGUGCCGGAAGGUUAAUUGAUGGGGUUAGCGGUAACGCGAAGCUCUUGAUCGAAGCCCCGGUAAACGGCGGCCGUAACUAUAACGGUCCUAAGGUAGCGAAAUUCCUUGUCGGGUAAGUUCCGACCUGCACGAAUGGCGUAAUGAUGGCCAGGCUGUCUCCACCCGAGACUCAGUGAAAUUGAACUCGCUGUGAAGAUGCAGUGUACCCGCGGCAAGACGGAAAGACCCCGUGAACCUUUACUAUAGCUUGACACUGAACAUUGAGCCUUGAUGUGUAGGAUAGGUGGGAGGCUUUGAAGUGUGGACGCCAGUCUGCAUGGAGCCGACCUUGAAAUACCACCCUUUAAUGUUUGAUGUUCUAACGUUGGCCCCUAAUCGGGGUUGCGGACAGUGUCUGGUGGGUAGUUUGACUGGGGCGGUCUCCUCCUAAAGAGUAACGGAGGAGCACGAAGGUUGGCUAAUCCUGGUCGGACAUCAGGAGGUUAGUGCAAUGGCAUAAGCCAGCUUGACUGCGAGCGUGACGGCGCGAGCAGGUGCGAAAGCAGGUCAUAGUGAUCCGGUGGUUCUGAAUGGAAGGGCCAUCGCUCAACGGAUAAAAGGUACUCCGGGGAUAACAGGCUGAUACCGCCCAAGAGUUCAUAUCGACGGCGGUGUUUGGCACCUCGAUGUCGGCUCAUCACAUCCUGGGGCUGAAGUAGGUCCCAAGGGUAUGGCUGUUCGCCAUUUAAAGUGGUACGCGAGCUGGGUUUAGAACGUCGUGAGACAGUUCGGUCCCUAUCUGCCGUGGGCGCUGGAGAACUGAGGGGGGCUGCUCCUAGUACGAGAGGACCGGAGUGGACGCAUCACUGGUGUUCGGGUUGUCAUGCCAAUGGCACUGCCCGGUAGCUAAAUGCGGAAGAGAUAAGUGCUGAAAGCAUCUAAGCACGAAACUUGCCCCGAGAUGAGUUCUCCCUGAGACUUAGAGUCUCCUGAAGGAACGUUGAAGACGACGACGUUGAUAGGCCGGGUGUGUAAGCGCAGCGAUGCGUUGAGCUAACCGGUACUAAUGAACCGUGAGGCUUAACCUUACAACGCCGAAG
rnacentral:rRNA from 1 species